rnacentral:rRNA from 1 species
AAUGAACGUUGGCGGCGUGGAUUAGGCAUGCAAGUCGAGCGAGAAGUGUAGCAAUACACGGAAAGCGGCGAAAGGGAUAGUAACACGUAGGUACCUACCCCCGGGCCUGGGAUAGCGGCGGGAAACUGCCAUUAAUACCAGAUAACGUCCCCGGACCAAAGGUGUGAUUCCGUCUGGGGAGGGGCCUGCGUCCUAUCAGCUAGUUGGUGAGGUAAUGGCCCACCAAGGCUAUGACGGGUAGCGGAUGUGAGAGCACGACCCGCAUCACUGGGACUGAGACACUGCCCAGACACCUACGGGUGGCUGCAGUCGAGAAUCUUCCGCAAUGGGCGCAAGCCUGACGGAGCGACGCCGCGUGCGGGAUGAAGGCCUUCGGGUUGUAAACCGCUGUCAGUGGGGAGGAAAUGCAUGGGGGUUCUCCCCUGUGUUUGACCGAUCCGCAGAGGAAGCACAGGCUAAGUUCGUGCCAGCCGCCGCCGUAAUAC